GUGUUUAAAUUUCUAAGUAAAAAUAGUUUUAAUUUAUGCAUGUAUGUUAGAAACAAGCUUUAAAAUUUUAAGUGAAUCAAGAGGAUGGGUUGUAAAAUCAAAUAAUCAAGCAUGAUAAUUUUGAUUUGUAGAACUUUAUGUCAACUUUUGAUUAAUGUUUGAAAUAUGCUUAGGAACUUAACAUGUUCUUGAAGUGUGUUACUUGUCCUAAGAUGAUUCUCACUAUUUUUGUUGAACAUGAUUGAAGCUUGUGUUAUCCAAUCUAGCUGGGUGAGAAUGUGUGAACUUUCCAUUGUUUACAUAAUUAUGAGAGUGCCGGCAAUUGUGUAUGCUCAUUUGAUUUUAGCUUAAUCUUGCUGUCACUAAUAUGUUUGAUGUUGUGGAUAUGAUCAAGGCCUUGUUUCUUUUUGAGUGAUAACCACUUAGCCAAAUUUUACCUACCCUGUGAGAUAGUGAUCUUUUGUGUCCCUAUUUGAGCCUUAAAUUUUGAAAAUUGUUUGUUUUAUAAACCCUGAAACCGAAAGAAAAGAAAAACAACUACUCUACCCUUGUCUUAGGAUAGGAGAGCAAGU
rnacentral:lncRNA from 1 species